UGGAUUUAAUAGUCUCUAUAAUUAUACCAUACAACUUUGUAAUCAAUCUGGCUGUCAAUCUCUAAGAAAGGGUUUUGCGCCAUCAAAGAACAUUCAGCUGACACCCCCGUAUGAUGUUAAGGCCCAACCAACGCCAGAGCAUUUCAACAUCACUUGGGCAAGUGGGUAUGAAACCGAGAGGUACAUCGGUAAAUUCCUGGACUACGAACUCUUAAUUCAAAGAUCUCAAAGCAGUUGGAGCCAAACUCUCAAAUCAAGACUGCAGUUUGAAUCCAUCCUAAGAUCACAACUUGACGCAGAUGCUACAUAUUGCAUUAAAGUGAGAUCAAAACCUCCAGAAGAUUUAGGUUAUAAAGGAUUUUGGAGUAAAUGGAGUCCAACGACAUGCUGGAAAACUG